CUUCACCGAACCGAGCCACAGGGGUUCGCGGCCGCCGGACGGGCCUUCGGGCCGCUCCUGUCCGUACGUGGCGAGCAGCGCCUGCGCCUC
rfam:Streptomyces aurantiacus JA 4570 Seq309, whole genome shotgun sequence.